AUGCUGCUGAGCUGCUCUUCCGAAGUGUCUCACUCUGUUGCUGAGGUUGGAGUGCAGUGGCAUGAUCAUGACUCACUGCAGUCCUGUAAUCCUGGGCUCAACAAUCCUUUCCUGUAUACAUUACCCAGUCUCAGGUAUGUCCUUAUUAGCAGCAUGAGAAUAGACUAAUGUAAGAGGGGUGCAACAAAAUUCUUGCAGCGAAGGAAUUCACUAUACAUUAAUUUUCAUUCCUCUCUCUUUCUCUGUGUAUGUAUUGUUUAUCAACAGUAAACAUUCAUUAAGUUUAUUUUCUGUGCUACUUGCUGGGAAUACAAAGAGCCUUAAGAUACCAUCUCUGCCCUUAAGGAGCUUAUAAAUAAAAUAAAUAAGAAUAUUAUUAUAAUUCUGAAGUAAUUCUGAGAAUGCUGCCCUUAGCCAUGAAUACAAUUUUCUUCCUCCCUGAAGCUUUUAUGCAUUCUCCUUUUCACCUUCUAUUUUUAUUUUCUUGAAAAUUUGUUUUAAGGACUUAGCUCUCUUCACAUAUGGGAAUACGUGAUAGGAGAGAGGUGAAAAAGAAAUGAGGAGGAAAAGUAGGAGUGAAGAAAGAAGGGUCUCAAGGCAAAUGGCUUUCUGCUUCUAUACUACAAGUAACAUAAAUGCAAUUAAGAUUCUUUACAGUGGCUCACGCUGUAAUAACAGUACUUUGGUAGGUCAAGGUGGGUGGAUCUUCUGAGUUCAGCCUAUUCAACAAUGCAAAAUCCUGUCUCUAUUAAAAAUACAAAAUUUAGCUGUUCAUGGUGGUGCAUGCCUGUAAUCCCGGCUACUUGGGAGGCUGAGGCAAAGAAUCACUUGGAUCCAAGAGGCUAGGGUUGCAGUGAUCAGAGGUCAUACCACUGCACUCCAGACUAGGUAACAGAGUGAGACUCCAUUUCAACAAAAACAACAAAAAGAAUAAAAUUACAGUGUUUUAAGCUUUCUAAAGGGCUCUUAGAAUUUCAUCCAAUUUUAUGUUCACAACAUUCCAUUUUAUUGUGGAAAAACUGAGUCAGGAUAUGUCUAUGUGUUUACCAGACACCUCCAUCCUUCAGCUUUUAAAACACAUUUCUUUAACUUAAUACAUUAUUAAUUUGAUCCUGGGAACAAUCCUCUGAGUCCUUCGCUCAUGAAACAGGGAGGAGGAGUAGAAUCAUACAUGUUUGAAAGGCAGAAAAAAAAUACCCUGCUCAGUUUGAAUCCUUGUUUAUUUACUUGCUAGCUGUGUGACUUCCAUUUAACUUCCAUGAGCCCAUGUUUCUGUUACAUGUGAAUAACAGUUCCUCCUAGUAGAGUUUUGUGUCAAGCCUGUUAUAUUCUAAGUGUUGGUUCAUUUUCUACUUCCACUGAAUUGGAUCAGUUCUUCCAAAGACAGAGAUUUUUUUUCAUGUAAAGUGGUACUUUUCCUAAACAAAGACAGUAUUUUCCGUUCUGUAAUUGACCUGCAGAUUGGGUUGGCUGUACAUUUAGGAAGGUGGAUGCUAGCUACUUCUUGCUUUACUAGACUGGUGUGGCUGUGUUCCUUUUGUUCACCUGACACAAAGUCUUAGGGAACAUGUUAUCCUGUACAAAAUUUAUUUUUAAAUAAUACACUAAAACAUUCCAUAUAGAAUAAGCUCCUGAAAACAGAAAAAAAGGGACCUGAAAUCUACUACUAUAUGGUGUAUGCAUAGCUGCACAAUUUCUAAUCUGGUACGAGUUCAAAUGUAACAAUUAGUGUCACACUUCACCCUAUUCAGAGUAGUCUAAAGCUUAUCUGCCACAGGCAAUAAUAAUCAGGACUCAAUAAAAGGUGUUGGAGCAGAUGGAGGGACUGCAGUUUCCAAUUAAACUCCUCUUUGUUAAGCUUUAUAUUCUCAUGAUUUAUUGAACAGACUUCAGCUCUCCGUCACCUAUACAACUGGUAUUUGGGUUUAGCACUGCUCUGUACAUUUGCUUACUUUCUAAGGUAGAAAAAGCCUCUGUGUAAAUGGAGAAUCUCAUCUUUUUUGCUGAAAUACUGCAGAUGAUGUUUUGUUUUGCAGCCAGAACAAAAAGAGGAAGAGAAAAAGACAAUUAAUAUUUAUUGAGCAUUGAGAAUAUCUGGUAGGCAUUUUUGGGUGAAUCGACUCUUGAAUAAUUUGCUUCAUUUAAUCCUCAUGAUUAUACUGUGAGGAAGAGGUUGUUUCUUAUUUGGUCACCACUUUGUUGAUGAGAAAACUGAAACUUGGAGUUUGAAUCAGUAAGCAGAUGUGAAAACACAAAAAGACUACCCAUUCAUAAUAUUGUAUUGCCAAGGGAAAGAUAAGAGAGAUUUUAUAAAUGAGAGUGUAGAGAACUUUGUUAAUAAGAACAUCUUGUUUUAUUAAAAGCAACAAUGAUAUGUCUAUGUAUAUGAGUCAAAAGAACUAAUAUUUUUAAAGCUCUAGGAGACUGUUUUACAUGUGACUAUUAUUACCACGUGAAGUGUUUAACAAACGUGUGUGGACAUCACACACAUACCUAUGUUAGGCACUGACAGCUUAGCGGUGGGAAACAGAGGCUACAUGUCUGCUUUCCUAGAAAACUCAAAUGCAGAUGUUCAUGAGAUUUCAGUUAAUGCUUACCCAUUGUUCAUUGAGAAAAUGAGACUUCGGUUUACUUUAUUAGUCUGAGGCCAUUAACAAGGCAGAAAGGCUCCACUAGCAUGGAAAGUACAAAGAAUGCUUCAGAAGCAAGUGACAAAAAAGCUGAUGUACCUCCCUAAAUGAGUCCUGGAACCUGAAAAGGAAUAUGGGAUGAAAGAUAGAAAGGCCAGGUGUUUUCACUGUCUCAUGAAGAAGAGCAUGGUUUCAGAGCACUUAGGAUUCUUCAGAAAGUAGAAUUUCUUUCCGUGUUGCUGUAUUUGCUCCUUCCAAAUCGCUCUUCUCAGGCUUCUACCAAGGCAGCCCAGCUACUCAGUAAGUAACAGCUGAUAACAAAAUAGUUCUGUGUUCCUCAUCAGCAAGGGGGAAUUAACUGUCUUAAGCAGGGUAUUUGAUGUCACUCUACAUACAAAGAUUCAACAACUGUGUGUUGGGACAUGAAUCCUACUCAUAGGGUAAUUUGAGUUAAAUCUGCAACAACUUUAUAGUCAAUCGCUUACAUGCAACGUUAAUGUCUUUUGUUUCCAGAAUUAAAGAAAUAGAUUUCAAGGUACAGUGAAAUAUGUAGAACCCGUGAUGUAAGGCAAGCAUUUAUAAUUAUAGAAAUCAGUGUACAGUCUAACAAAAUGAUACAAAUGCAAGCAGGAAAGGGGUAAUAAACGAAAAUAAAACCAGAGAUUUUUUUCAGUAUCUGUGGAAAAAAUAUAAAGAAACAUUCAAAGCAGUAUGAGACUGUUGAAUUCAUCUAAUGAGUAGGAAUGUCAAAAUGGUUCAAAUAUCAUAAAAAUGAUCAAUGAGUUGGAAAAAAGGACUUCUCAGGGAAACUUUAAUUAUAAAUAUAACUAGGGAAGACCUUUGUUACCACAUGACUCAUAACACAGAUUUGAAUACCACAGAGUUAUAUGACUCCUCAAAUGGAACUUUAUAAGAAAAUUAUAAUUAUAAACUGCUCUGGGUAGAUCAUAAAAUGUGCGUGUGUGUGUGUGUGUGUGUGUGUGUGUGUGUGAGAGAGAGAGAGAGAGAGAGAGAAUGACUGAUGUCUAUGGAAGGAUUUAUUCAUUUAAUAGAAUAUUAUUAUGAUAAGUUAAUAUGCUAUUAAAAGGGCUUUGCAAAAUUAAAAUAAUAAACUUUCUGUUUAUAAAAUAGUCGUAUGAUGAAAGGGAUCACGGAAGAUGGUUAUUAUGAUGCCAUGAGUGUGAUAAAAUUAUUUCAGUCCGAACUCUAGACUAUUAAGGAUAUAAGGCCAGGUAUGGUGGCUCACACCAGUAAUCCCAGCACUUUGGGAAGCCAAAGCGAGUGGAUCACCUGACAUCAAGAGUUUGAGACCAGCCCGGCCAACAUGGUGAAACUCUGUCUCUACUAAAAUUAAAAAACUUAGCUGGGCGUGGUCGCAGGUGCCUGUAAUCCCAGAUACUGGGAAGGCUGAGCCAGGAGAAUCCCUUGAACCCAGGAGGCCGAGUUUCUCAAUUACUCCAGUUGAAAUAUAAUUGUUUAUUGACUGUUCGGUUGCUUUCUGUCUGGGGGGUGUGGUGAAAGCUAGACCAC
ensembl:lncRNA